rnacentral:rRNA from 1 species
UGCAGUCGAACGAGAACGGAUUAUAGCUUGCUAUAAUUGUCAGCUAAGUGGCGCACGGGUGAGUAAUAUAUAGGUAACAUGCCCUUAAGUGGGGGAUAACAGUUGGAAACGAUUGCUAAUACCCUAUAUGCCUUUUGUACGUAAGUAUGUAAAGGGAAAGAUUUAUUGCUUAAGGAUUGGCCUGUACGGUAUCAGUUAGUUGGUGAGGUAAUGGCUCACCAAGACGAUGACACCUAACUGGUUUGAGAGGAUGAUCAGUCACACUGGAACUGAGACACGGUCCAGACUCCUACGGGAGGCAGCAGUGGGGAAUAUUGCACAAUGGACGAAAGUCUGAUGCAGCAACGCCGCGUGGAGGAUGACACAUUUCGGUGCGUAAACUCCUUUUAUAGGUCAAGAUAAUGACGGUAGCCUAUGAAUAAGCGCCGGCUAACUCCGUGCCA